UACGGGGGGGGCAAGCGUUGUUCGGAAUUACUGGGCGUAAAGGGCCAGUAGGCGGCCAACUAAGUCCGACGUGAAAUCCCAAGGCUUAACCUUGGAACUGCGUCGGAUACUGGAUGGCUUGAAUUCGGGAGAGGGAUGCAGAAUUCCAGGUGUAGCGGUGAAAUGCGUAGAUAUCUGGAGGAACACCGAUGGCGAAGGCAAUCCCCUGGACCUGUACUGACGCUGAGGAGCGAAAGCGUGGGGAGCAAACAGG
rnacentral:rRNA from 1 species